rnacentral:sRNA from 1 species
UGGUUCUGGAGUUGACACAGUAGUCAAG